GAUGAAGAACGUAGCGAAAUGCGAUAAGUAAUGUGAAUUGCAGAAUUCAGUGAAUCAUCGAAUCUUUGAACGCACCUUGCGCUCCUUGGUAUUCCGAGGAGCAUGCCUGUCUGAGUGUCAUGAAAUUCUCAACCUUUUCAGCUUUCUUUGUUGAUCAGGCUUGGAUGUGGGAGUAUGCGGGCUUCUCAGAAGUCGGCUCUCCUGAAAUGCAUUAGCGGGACCUUUGUUGCCUGGCUUUGGUGUGAUAAUUAUCUACGCCAUUGUAGUCAAGCAACUUAAAAUGAGGUUUCAGCUUCUAACCGUCUCCCCUGAGACAACUUUUUGACAAUUUGACCUCAAAUCAGGUAGGACUACCCGCUGAACUUAAGCAUAUCAAUAAGCGGAGGA
rnacentral:misc_RNA from 1 species